UUAAGUUAUUAAGGGCGCACGGUGGAUGCCUUGGCACUAGAAGCCGAUGAAGGACGUUACUAACGACGAUAUGCUUUGGGGAGCUGUAAGUAAGCUUUGAUCCAGAGAUUUCCGAAUGGGGAAACCCAGCAUGAGUUAUGUCAUGUUAUCGAUAUGUGAAUACAUAGCAUAUCAGAAGGCACACCCGGAGAACUGAAACAUCUUAGUACCCGGAGGAAGAGAAAGAAAAUUCGAUUCCCUUAGUAGCGGCGAGCGAAACGGGAAGAGCCCAAACCAACAAGCUUGCUUGUUGGGGUUGUAGGACACUCUAUACGGAGUUACAAAGGACGACAUUAGACGAAUCAUCUGGAAAGAUGAAUCAAAGAAGGUAAUAAUCCUGUAGUCGAAAAUGUUGUCUCUCUUGAGUGGAUCCUGAGUACGACGGAGCACGUGAAAUUCCGUUGGAAUCUGGGAGGACCAUCUCCUAAGGCUAAAUACUCUCUAGUGACCGAUAGUGAACCAGUACCGUGAGGGAAAGGUGAAAAGCACCCCGGAAGGGGAGUGAAAUAGAACCUGAAACCGUGUGCUUACAAGUAGUCAGAGCCCGUUAAUGGGUGAUGGCGUGCCUUUUGUAGAAUGAACCGGCGAGUUACGAUUUGAUGCAAGGUUAAGCAGUAAAUGUGGAGCCGUAGCGAAAGCGAGUCUGAAUAGGGCGUUUAGUAUUUGGUCGUAGACCCGAAACCAGGUGAUCUACCCUUGGUCAGGUUGAAGUUCAGGUAACACUGAAUGGAGGACCGAACCGACUUACGUUGAAAAGUGAGCGGAUGAACUGAGGGUAGCGGAGAAAUUCCAAUCGAACCUGGAGAUAGCUGGUUCUCUCCGAAAUAGCUUUAGGGCUAGCCUCAAGUGAUGAUUAUUGGAGGUAGAGCACUGUUUGGACGAGGGGCCCCUCUCGGGUUACCGAAUUCAGACAAACUCCGAAUGCCAAUUAAUUUAACUUGGGAGUCAGAACAUGGGUGAUAAGGUCCGUGUUCGAAAGGGAAACAGCCCAGACCACCAGCUAAGGUCCCAAAAUAUAUGUUAAGUGGAAAAGGAUGUGGCGUUGCCCAGACAACUAGGAUGUUGGCUUAGAAGCAGCCAUCAUUUAAAGAGUGCGUAAUAGCUCACUAGUCGAGUGACACUGCGCCGAAAAUGUACCGGGGCUAAACAUAUUACCGAAGCUGUGGAUUGUCCUUUGGACAAUGGUAGGAGAGCGUUCUAAGGGCGUUGAAGCAUGAUCGUAAGGACAUGUGGAGCGCUUAGAAGUGAGAAUGCCGGUGUGAGUAGCGAAAGACGGGUGAGAAUCCCGUCCACCGAUUGACUAAGGUUUCCAGAGGAAGGCUCGUCCGCUCUGGGUUAGUCGGGUCCUAAGCUGAGGCCGACAGGCGUAGGCGAUGGAUAACAGGUUGAUAUUCCUGUACCACCUAUAAUCGUUUUAAUCGAUGGGGGACGCAGUAGGAUAGGCGAAGCGUGCGAUUGGAUUGCACGUCUAAGCAGUAAGGCUGAGUAUUAGGCAAAUCCGGUACUCAUUAAGGCUGAGCUGUGAUGGGGAGAAGACAUUGUGUCUUCGAGUCGUUGAUUUCACACUGCCGAGAAAAGCCUCUAGAUAGAAAAUAGGUGCCCGUACCGCAAACCGACACAGGUAGUCAAGAUGAGAAUUCUAAGGUGAGCGAGCGAACUCUCGUUAAGGAACUCGGCAAAAUGACCCCGUAACUUCGGGAGAAGGGGUGCUCUUUAGGGUUAACGCCCAGAAGAGCCGCAGUGAAUAGGCCCAAGCGACUGUUUAUCAAAAACACAGGUCUCUGCUAAACCGUAAGGUGAUGUAUAGGGGCUGACGCCUGCCCGGUGCUGGAAGGUUAAGAGGAGUGGUUAGCUUCUGCGAAGCUACGAAUCGAAGCCCCAGUAAACGGCGGCCGUAACUAUAACGGUCCUAAGGUAGCGAAAUUCCUUGUCGGGUAAGUUCCGACCCGCACGAAAGGCGUAACGAUUUGGGCACUGUCUCAACGAGAGACUCGGUGAAAUCAUAGUACCUGUGAAGAUGCAGGUUACCCGCGACAGGACGGAAAGACCCCGUGGAGCUUUACUGUAGCCUGAUAUUGAAAUUCGGCACAGCUUGUACAGGAUAGGUAGGAGCCUUUGAAACGUGAGCGCUAGCUUACGUGGAGGCGCUGGUGGGAUACUACCCUAGCUGUGUUGGCUUUCUAACCCGCACCACUUAUCGUGGUGGGAGACAGUGUCAGGCGGGCAGUUUGACUGGGGCGGUCGCCUCCUAAAAGGUAACGGAGGCGCUCAAAGGUUCCCUCAGAAUGGUUGGAAAUCAUUCAUAGAGUGUAAAGGCAUAAGGGAGCUUGACUGCGAGACCUACAAGUCGAGCAGGGUCGAAAGACGGACUUAGUGAUCCGGUGGUUCCGUAUGGAAGGGCCAUCGCUCAACGGAUAAAAGCUACCCCGGGGAUAACAGGCUUAUCUCCCCCAAGAGUUCACAUCGACGGGGAGGUUUGGCACCUCGAUGUCGGCUCAUCGCAUCCUGGGGCUGUAGUCGGUCCCAAGGGUUGGGCUGUUCGCCCAUUAAAGCGGUACGCGAGCUGGGUUCAGAACGUCGUGAGACAGUUCGGUCCCUAUCCGUCGUGGGCGUAGGAAAUUUGAGAGGAGCUGUCCUUAGUACGAGAGGACCGGGAUGGACAUACCUCUGGUGUACCAGUUGUCGUGCCAACGGCAUAGCUGGGUAGCUAUGUGUGGACGGGAUAAGUGCUGAAAGCAUCUAAGCAUGAAGCCCCCCUCAAGAUGAGAUUUCCCAACUUCGGUUAUAAGAUCCCUCAAAGAUGAUGAGGUUAAUAGGUUCGAGGUGGAAGCAUGGUGACAUGUGGAGCUGACGAAUACUAAUCGAUCGAAGACUUAAUCAA
rnacentral:rRNA from 1 species